rnacentral:rRNA from 1 species
AUGGCGGAGGCUAUACUCCUUGCCGUGUCAAAGAUUGGGGCAGUCAUUUUGAAUCAAGCAGUCACGGAUGUGGUACAGAAGCUAUCGAAGGUUGCAGCUCUAAAGGAAUUGCCAACAAAAGUUACAAGAAUCAAUGUAGAAUUGACGACCAUGAAUAAUAUAAUUCUUGAUUUGGGCACAACACAUCUCAGUAACAAUGUCAUCAAGGGUUGGAUUGGAAAUGUAAGAGAUCUGGCUUACCGUGUUGAGGAUGUAAUUGAUAAAUACUCAUAUGAGGCUCUUAAGCUCAAGGACGAAGGCUUCCUGCAACGGUACAUCUUCAGAGGUUCUCGCCAUAUAAAGGUCUUUAGUCAAAUUGCUGAGGAAAUUGAGAAUAUAGAGAAGGAUAUCAUGCAGAUCAAAGAGUUGCCUAAAUAUUGGAGGGACACAGUGCAACCCAGAAAUAAUGAUCAUGCAAAGAUUGAUAAGACGCGGUCUGGUAGCUGCUUUCCAGGACUCUUUAGUGAUGAGGAUCUUGUGGGGAUUGAUGAAAAUAGGAGCAAGCUGACUGAAUGGUUGAGCACUGAUGAUAAAGGAAGCUCGGUGAUAACAGUUUCUGGUAUGGGAGGCUUGGGGAAAACAACCCUUGUAAAGAAUGUGUAUGAUAGGGAGAAAGUCAACUUCCCUGAUGCACAUGCUUGGAUUGUGGUGUCACAGGCAUAUGAUGUAGUUGAUUUGCUGGGGUCAUUGCUCACCAAGCUACAGCUCACACAAGGGACACAAUCUCCUCUUAGCAUGGAUGCCAAAGCUAAUGUUUAUGACUUAACAGAGGCAAUAAGGAAGACACUGCAAGAUAGGAAGUGUUUAAUCGUGCUUGAUGAUGUGUGGGACAAAGAUGCAUAUACUCAGAUGUGCAAUGCUUUCCAGGGUCUCCAAGGAAGUCGUGUUGUGAUCACAACACGGAAGGAAGAUGUUGCCGCUCUUGCUUCACCUAGGCGUCGCCUAGUACUCCAACCAUUGGGUAGUGCCGAGUCAUUCAAGCUAUUUUGCUCAAGGGCUUUCCACAACAGCCCAAACCACGAGUGCCCACCGGAGCUCAAGGCAGUGGCUGUUGAUGUUGUUAAGAAGUGUCAUGGGCUGCCAUUGGCCAUUAUAUCUUCUGGCAGCCUAUUGUCUACGAAGCAACCAACAGAGUAUGUAUGGAAUCAGAUGUUCGAACAACUUCGGGACGAGUUUAAAGGGGAUAACAAUGUCCAAGCUAUACUUAAUCUGAGCUACCAUGACUUGCCAGGUGAUCUUAGGAACUGCUUCCUGUAUUGCAGCUUGUUCCCUGAAGAUUAUGCAAUGUCACGGGAGAGCCUUGUGCGGUUGUGGGUUGCUGAAGGAUUCGUGAUGAGGAAAGGAAACAACAUGCCAGAAGAAGUGGCUGAGGGAAAUCUGAUGGAACUCAUCGGCCGGAAUAUGUUGGAAGUUGUGGAGUGGGAUGAGCUCUUCAGGGUUAGUAAAUGUAAGAUGCAUGACAUUGUCCGUGACCUGGCUCUUGCUGUGGCGAAAAAGGAGAGGUUUGGCUCUGCAAAUGAUUCGGGUGAAAUGAUUAGCAUGGAAAAAGAAGUUCGUCGAUUAUCGACAUCAAGUGGUUGGACCGCAGAUCCAAGAGUGGAAUUUCCUCGGCUACGUACCAUCAUGUCUCUUGCAACAGCUUCGUCCUCUACCAACAUGCUUUCCUCUGUUUUCUCUGGAUCUAGCUACCUUACUGUUCUCGAGCUUCAAGACUCUGCAAUAACUGAAGUGCCAGCAUCCAUCGGGAAUCUGUUCAACCUUCGCUACAUUGGAUUAAGGCGUACCAAUGUCCAGUCACUGCCAGACACCAUAGAAAAACUCUUGAACCUCGAGACAUUGGACAUCAAGCAAACAAGAGUAGAAAAGCUCCCACCAGGAAUUGUAAAAGUUGAGAAGCUGCGACACCUUUUUGCAGACAGGUUUGCUGAUGAGAAGCAGACCGAGUUCCGAUACUUUGUCGGGAUCGAAGCGCCUCAUAUGAUUUCCAACUUUCAAGAACUGCAAACUCUCGAGACCGUCCAUGCCAGCAAAGACAUGUCCAUGGAGUUGAAGAAAAUGAGGAAGUUGCAAACUGUUUGGGUUGAUAAUAUUAAUGCAUCUAACUGUGAUGACCUUUUCAAAACCCUCUCAGAUAUGCCCCUGCUUUCCAGCUUACUUCUCUCUGCAUAUGAUGAGACCGAGAAACUUUCUUUUCAGUCACUAGUGCCAAUUUCCAAGAAGCUCCACAGACUAAUCGUUAGAGGUGGUUGGGCUGAUGGGACACUCAAGUGCCCAAUAUUUCAGGGCCAUGGGAGGAAUCUCAAGUACUUGGCUCUAAGUUGGUGCAAUCUUGGGAAAGAAGAUCCGCUGCAGUUGUUGGCAUCUCAUCUGCCAGCUCUAACUUAUCUCAGUCUUAACAGGGUGAGUAGUGCAGCAAUAUUGGUCCUUUCUGCCGGGUCCUUUUCUAAGCUGAAGACACUCGUCUUGAAGUGCAUGCCUAAUGUCAAGCAACUGGAGAUUGAAGAGGGUGCCAUUCCACACAUUGAUGGGAUCUACAUCGUGUCGCUCUCGGAGCUGAAUACGGUCCCUCAUGGCAUUGAAUCCCUUGGAACCCUCAAGAAGCUCUGGAUGCUGGGACUGCACAAGGACUUCAAGGCCCAGUGGAAUCUGAACCAGAUGCACAACAAGAUGAAGCAUGUUCCAGAGCUCCGUUCCUAG